ACGGUGCCCCGUCUGGCCAAAGGACAAAUCUCAAGGGGAAACCUGCAAAGACAAACAAGGAGCAGUGACUUCAUUAUCGUCGUUAAUUUGCCACUUCAGUUCCUCCCACAAGGGUCAGAGCCGGCACGGCUUGAACUCAGGACUGAGGCGGAGGCCGAGCCGGCCGCCUGCCUUUUCCGCCUUAAGCCUCUCCCACAGCCACUCGGCCUCCCCUCCUCCUCCCGGCCUUCAUUUCUCUGCAGGGGGUCAGGCUCCGGGUUUUUCUCUUCCGUUUCGCAGUCCUCGCAGCCUCAGCCUACCGCCCUCCUUUUUCAUUUAAAUUAUUUGGCCUUCCCUCCGGCUCUCCUGGCUCCAAAGGCUCUAGUGAACCUCAGGUGCCCACAAACAAGACUUCAUUUAGAGCUAAGAAUAGCUGCAGGGAGGCAAGGUCAAGCUACCAACCUAGGAAUCCUACAGAUUUGACUAUGGCCCUCGCCAAUAUGUGUACAGAUCCCCAGCAAAGCAGCAAGUUGUUCCUCUGUGGGUUUUAAGGCCUGAAUGAACCUGGCCCUUUGCAUAAGAUAGCUUCUGUCACAUGGAUGAAAACUGCCUCCUGAAGCACACUGAAUCCAAAUAUGGCCCCUGACCAGUGACUACCACAAUCAUCAAUCAUGACUGAUAAGCAAACUCCAAGGCAGCCUGAAAAGGCCAGAGAGAUCCAUUCAGACCCCGAAGGAAAGGGCACGGAGUCCUAGAUGGGUAGACCAGUUAUGCAGCCAAGGUGUGACACACAGUGACAAGAACACACAGCGAGAGGAUCGCCCGGAUAGGAAGUCACAUCCGGAGACAGUGACACACAGACGGACCCGGACCCAGAGACGGAGGGGUGGGGA
ensembl:lncRNA